rnacentral:misc_RNA from 1 species
CCGAGUUUACAACUCCCAAACCCCCUGUGAACCUAUACCUUUACUGUUGCUUCGGCGGGCUCAGCCCCGGAGCCAGGCUCGCGAGGGCCUGCCCGGAACCAGGCGCCCGCCGGGGGACCGAACCAAACUCUUGUAUUUCCUCACUAUAUGUAUGUCUGAGUGGUAUGAAAAAUGAAUCA